ensembl:lncRNA
GAGGUUUCAGGACUGGAGUAAGAUGAAUUGCCCUCCAAAACUGAACCUUGACUUAAACUGUUAUAUUGUUUGCGUUCUGGCCAUGUUCCUCCAACAAUAUGGUUGUAUGCUGGCAUUAUACUAACUGUCCUAAGGACUAUGAAUUCCUGCCAUGAUGAAUUACAACCACAAUGAGGUUCCAUCUGCGGCACUGUCCAAACCAACUCCUGAUACAACUGCUGAAUUGCAGGCAUCACCAGUUGAUGCUCCAGCCUCUCCAAGCCUAAAGAGGAAGACACCUGUGCCCCUUCCAGCAGAACUGACGUUCCUAGUGAAGGAGACAACAGCAGAAAAGCUUAAGGCAAUGCCAGAACUCUGCACAAGUGCUGCUGUCACCUCUGCACGCAAAGUGCUUGCCUUUGAGGAGAGUAGUGAAAAUGUUCCCUCAGCUCAGCCACCUGUUCCUGUUCUCCUGCCUGUGCAUGACCAUGACAUGAGCAGCUGGAGCUGUUCUCAACACCAGAAGCUGUGGAUGAGGAUGGAGCUUCAGGAUCUCGGGCUGUGGCCUGGGUCUCGUUCAGUGCGUAACCCAGGGAACACAAUUUCACUGUGGCGUCUUCCUCCACAACCUGAGCUUGUCGAUAUGGCGUCCGAACUCCCAUCCCCUAACUUCUUCCAGCUACACCCAUUUUUCAUCUGGAAACCGGAGAGUCACAUCAUGGUCAGGUUGAGAAACACUUACAUCCUGCCUUGUCUGCAUGGAUGUCCUCAUCCACAGGUGGUCUCUGCAGGAGUGGGCAGGCCUAGGGUGAUUGUUGGCACCAGUGGUCAGUAUUACAUCUUGUCCUCACGACUCUGCUGCAAGGCCUGUCAGAAGAACUGGUUUGCUGACAAUCCACGAUGGCUUGAGAAGCUGCCCAAGCGGUUUACCAACAUUCUGCCUGCAUUCCUGACCUACAAGAAGGCCAUCUGCAAAUCUGUGAUGGAUGAGCUGAGGCGCACUGGCAAGUCACCAACCGAUAUGGCAAACCAGGUGAAUGAGCUCAUGCACCUCAAGUAUGAGCGAGCUCACCUGGCAUACCUGCAUGCCAUAGAAAGCGUCAGGGAUGCUGAGGCUGGCAUAUAUGGACAGAGGACCAUUGGGCAGUUCCUGAGGAAGGAAAACACUCCACGUGCUUUCGGGUCAUAUGAUGAUCAAGAUGGCUGGUAUGGAGUCUCUGUGUCCAGCUUCUACCUGACUGACUGCCUACUAGAUGAGUACAAACGUCAAGAGCCAGCCAUGUCCAAACUCCUUCAGGGCACUUUUGGGCGGGUCUUCAGGUCUGACCACACCAGGAAAGUUGCAAGAAAAGUAACGCUGGCAUCUGGGGUCAUGUCCAGUUAUGCAAUCAUGAAUGAGAACUGGCUGAUUGUUUCCUGGGUGAUGGUUCAGUCUGAGACCGAGAGGUCCUUGGAGCCAAUGUACCAGGGACUGGCCAAGAGGUACGGCGAUGCUGGAGUGGAAAAGGCAGGCUUCCACUGGAUGGACAGGGAUUGCUGUGCUCCAUUUAAGAUCCCAGACUGCAUCCCUGGUGAACAUCUAAACUGGGAUGCCUGGAAGACUACCCCUUCCAUUGUUGCUGGGGCCACCUCUGGACCGCUGGAGAACACCUGUGCCUCACGGUCACAUUUCAGUAAUAACAUUGUGGUGAAGCUGGACUUGUUCCACUGCCUGAGGCGUUUUUCACGGGAGUGCACCUCUGAGCAUCACCCUCU